AAAUGAACUUUAUACAGUGUGCAAUUUGACUCUGCCAUGCCAGCUGGAAUACACCUUUAGGAGCUGAGUAGGUUCUCAGGCCUUUGGCCUCAGACUGGGCAUUACAUCAUCAGCAACCCUGCUUCUCAAGCCUUCAGCCUUGGACUGAAUUAUUCCGCUGUCUUUCCUAGGUCUUCACCUUGCAGACAUCAGAACCUGGGACUUCUUGGCCUCCAUAAUCGCGCAGUGAGAAGAGAAGCCUGAGAAGAUGCUUCUGGCCUGAGGCAUUCUCUGUGUUGUGAUAUUUUCCUGUUUCUGUGAUGGCCUCAGUGUAUGAGCAUAUUGACUGAGGGCCUUCAUAUGAUGAAAAGGUCAUGUCCUGGGAGAAAGGAAAUGAGCCCCAAUGCUUUGUCUUAUCACUUCGAGGAAGAGAUGGCCAGAGAGAAUGAACCUCCUAUUCCUAUCCUGGGGUCUGCUAACCCUGAGAAACCACCUCCUUGGAAAGUGUUCAGGACUUCCUCAGUUUCUCUAAUGCAAACGAAUACUCACCAGUGCCACAGAGACACGU